rnacentral:rRNA from 1 species
GACGAACGCUGGCGGCGUGCUUAACACAUGCAAGUCGAACGGAAAGGCCCUGCUUUUGUGGGGUGCUCGAGUGGCGAACGGGUGAGUAACACGUGAGUAACCUGCCCUUGACUUUGGGAUAACUUCAGGAAACUGGGGCUAAUACCGGAUAGGAGCUCCUGCUGCAUGGUGGGGGUUGGUAAGUUUCGGCGGUUGGGGAUGGACUCGCGGCUUAUCAGCUUGUUGGUUGGGUAGUGGCUUACCAAGGCUUUGACGGGUAGCCGGCCUGAGAGGGUGGCCGGCCACGUUGGGACGGGGAUGCGGCACAGACUCCUACGGGAGGCAGCAGUGGGGAAGAUUGCACAAUGGGCGGGGGCCUGGUGCAGCAACGCCGCGUGCGGGAUGACGGCCUUCGGGUUGUAUACCGCUUUCGCCUGUGACGAAGCGUGAGUGACGGUAAUGGGUAAAGAAGCUCCGGCUAACUACGUG